CCUACGGGAGGCAGCAGUGGGGGAUAUUGCACAAUGGGGGGAACCCUGAUGCAGCGACGCCGCGUGGGUGAAGAAGCGCCUCGGCGCGUAAAGCCCUGUCAGCAGGGAAGAAAAUGACGGUAGCAGAGGAGGAAGCUCCGGCUAACUACGUGCCAGCAGCCGCGGUAAUACGUAGGGAGCGAGCGUUGUCCGGAUGUACGGGGUGUAAAGGGUGCGGAGGCGGCUUGGCAAGUCAGUGGUGAAAUCCAUGGGCUUAACCCAUGAACUGCUAUUGAAACUGUCCAGCUUGAGUGAAGUAGAGGUAGGCGGAAGUCCCGGUGUAGCGGUGAAAUGCGUAGAGAUCGGGAGGAACACCAGUGGCGAAGGCGGCCUACUGGGCUUUAACUGACGCUGAGGCACGAAAGCGUGGGUAGCAAACAGGAUUAGAUACCCGAGUAGUC
rnacentral:rRNA from 1 species